GAAUUUUGGGGCUGUAUUUCUUGUUAAACACCCACUCAACGGAGAUGAAUUGGAGCUGGAGGGGGAUUUUUAUGGGGCUAUGGCAGCUCUGAGGAGUCCUCCCCAUUCCCACAAAUCCUGGCACCAGUGGGCCACUGCAGGGAGGGGCUGAUGGCACAAAUCAGGAGAGAAUGGGAAUAUUCCUUAGGGAACUAAGCAUGGAGCCAAAUGCUCCUCUGCCAGUGUUUGUAGGGGGUUGUAGGCCAGGAAUUGUGGGCUACUGGGAAUGUUUGAUGCCAUCCCAAAAAACAAAGAGAUUGGAGAGAGUUAGGCAUGUCCAGUGGUGAGAGCUGGAUUGGAGGGGAGGGGUGGAUGUGUCGGGCGUGUUGGAUGCGUUGGGGGUCUUGGAUGUGUUGGGAAUGCCGGAUGUGUUGGAAUGUUAGGUGUGUUGGGAAUGUUGGAUGUGUCGGGAAUGUUGGGUGUGUCAGGAAUGUUGGGUGUGUCAGGAAUGUUGGGAGUAUUGGAAUGUUGGGUGUGUCAGGAAUGUUGGAUGUGGUGGAAUGUUGGGUGUGUUGGAAUGUUGGAUGUGUUGGAAUGUGUGUGUCGGGAAUGUUGGGAGUAUUGGAAUGUUGGGUGUGUCAGGAAUGUUGGAUGUGGUGGAAUGUUGGGUGUGUUGGAAUGUUGGAUGUGUUGGAAUGUUGGAUGUGUUGGAAUGUUGGGUGUGUCAAUAAUAUUGGGUGUGUCAGGAAUGUUGGAUGUGUUGGAAUGUUGGCUGUGUUGGAAUGUUGGCUGUGUUGGAAAGUCGGAUGUUCCCAGCAGCUGGAUGUUCCCAGCAGCUGUGGCAGUGCCGGGUGACUGGAUCGGGGCUCCUCGAUGGGAAGAACGUUCCCAUUCCUGCUGGGAAGGGAUUGCUCUGCCCUCAGGGCGUGCUGGGGCCUGGAUCAGCGGGGCUGGGGGCAGCAGCCUGGCCCAGGCACACCCAGAGCUGCUGCAGGAACCCCCGGCAGCGCUGCCUGACGGAUCCCAGCGGGAGCUCCGCUGUGGAAAGGCCUCUCUGUGUAAACAUGACACGUCCCUGGCCGUGCUCCUGCAGGAACCCCCGGCAGUGCUGCCUGACGGAUCCCAGCGGGAGCUCCGCUGUGGAAAGGCCUCUCUGUGUAAACAUGACACGUCCCUG
rnacentral:lncRNA from 12 species